AACAUAAUUUUGAUAGCAAAACUCAAGAACGAUUGGAUCGCAUAGAAACGGAAUUGAGGAAAUUAAAUAAUACUGUGGAACGGAUUUUAAAAUGUGUACAAAUAAAGGAAAACCGACGACGACCAUUACAAAAACCGGCAUGUAUACCGAUUUCGACAGAGAUGGAGAUGUAAACUUUUGAAACAGUUAAUGAGGAUAUAUACGACCAAGUUGUGGAAUAUCUUGAAUAUGUGGGAG